UACGGGGGGGGCAAGCGUUGUUCGGAAUUACUGGGCGUAAAGGGCUCGUAGGUGGCCAACUAAGUCAGACGUGAAAUCCCUCAGCUUAACUGGGGAACUGCGUCUGAUACUGGAUGGCUUGAGUUUGGGAGAGGGAUGCGGAAUUCCAGGUGUAGCGGUGAAAUGCGUAGAUAUCAAGAGGAACACCUGCGGCGAAGGCGGGUUGCUGGGCCGACACUGACGCUGAAGCGCGAAAGCCAGGGGAGCGAACGGG
rnacentral:rRNA from 1 species